UACGGGGGGGGCAAGCGUUGUUCGGAAUUACUGGGCGUAAAGGGCUCGUAGGUGGCCAAUUAAGUCAGACGUGAAAUCCCUCAGCUUAACUGGGGAACUGCGUCUGAUACUGGAUGGCUUGAGUUUGGGAGAGGUGAGUGGAACUGCGAGUGUAGAGGUGAAAUUCGUAGAUAUUCGCAAGAACACCAGUGGCGAAGGCGGCUCACUGGCCCGAUACUGACGCUGAGGCACGAAAGCGUGGGGAGCAAACAGG
rnacentral:rRNA from 1 species